GUCACUUUGCCGGAGUGGUUAACGGGAUCGCCUGCUACCAGCUGUUCAUUCAGCUCAGUCAAGCGGUUGGUCUUUGACCGCGAGUGUUCGAAUCGCUCAGGUGACG